rnacentral:rRNA from 1 species
CGUAGGGGGCUAGCGUUGUCCGGAAUCAUUGGGCGUAAAGCGCGUGUAGGCGGUCCGGUAAGUCCGCUGUGAAAGUCGGGGGCUCAACCCUCGGAUGCCGGUGGAUACUGUCGGGCUUGAGUACGGAAGAGGCGAGUGGAAUUCCUGGUGUAGCGGUGAAAUGCGCAGAUAUCAGGAGGAACACCAAUUGCGAAGGCAGCUCGCUGGGACGUUACUGACGCUGAGACGCGAAAGCGUGGGGAGCAAACAGGAUUAGAUACCCUGGUAGUCCACGCUGUAAACGAUGGGCACUAGGUGUGGGGGGUGUCGACUCCCUCCGUGCCGAAGCUAACGCAUUAAGUGCCCCGCCUGGGGAGUACGGCCGCAAGGCUA